rnacentral:sRNA from 1 species
UCAGAGAGGCCUGGUCCGGCGCCCCGAGGCCCGACCGCAGAGGAGCGCGUUCUUUGGGAUCGGGUUCUCGUCCCGCCAUGAGUUCGCCGGAGAGUAGACCCGGAGGUAGAAUUGUUGGCCGAGGUACUGUCUAGCCCAGCUCUCUGACCUGAUGUUCCACAUCCCCACAUUAUCCAAAGGCAUGUAAAUUGCAGUCCAUGAUUGAGGAUACACCUGAAAAAAGUAGAUCAUCAACUGCGUCUCUAAGGUUGUAGCUCUGGCGACUCGCAGGUGUCCAUUGUCCUCCAUCCAUCCCGACAACCCAGAAUGCGUAACCGUCAAUGUGCCAUGACUGCACAAAGUUUUCAGAGUUCUCAAAGAUGACUUCAACGUAGUCUCGCAUGUUGGCUGCCAUGACUGCUGUCUGCAGGUAGGCGCCACCUCCGGUUGGGUUGUCAGGCAUGCUCCCCAGAGCGAACACACCCUGAAUGUUGUAGAAGUCGGCAACCUUGAGAGGAGUGUCAGCUGGAAUGAAGGACACGCUGUUGACCGCGUAUCUCAGCUUGCCAUUUAUGCUAGCCCUUGAGUUCGCAAGUCUGAUGGUUCUUGUAGUGUUGACAAGGCCAUAAUGGUAUGAGCCCUGAGGGUUCGGCCUUGGUCCACUCGCCGUCAGAUUCCAUCUGUACCGACCUGAUUGAGAGACCAAUCAAUCUGGAUUGUUGGUGCUGGGGGUGGUGCUACCGUAGAAAGGGCACCGUUUGAAUUGCUGUAGUGGAGGACAGCAGUAGUGGUGAGCACAGGAUUGGUGAAACGGGUCGAGACAAUAAUGCUGUAGUCCUGGGGUGGCUGAUCAGCCGUCACGAGGAAUGAGUAGGACUGGCCUAGAUGGACAUCAAUCGAUGUGUAUGUGCUCUGCACGGUGUGUGAUCCCUCCACCUCAACCAGCAGCAAGGAAUGACCUUGAAUCCUUAUGUUCACUGAUGUUGCUAUGCCCACAUUCGAUACCCUAAAACGAUAAAUUUACCUUGGUCUACUGUAAACCUGUUGCCGUUCCAGCCUUGGCCAUUGAUAAGAAGCCCAUCAGGGGGUGGAAGGUCAUUACCACUUAUAUAAAAAAAUGUACUUACAGUGUGAUUGAGCUUGAACCAGUCACCGGCCAAUAUGGUGAAAUCGCCAGCAGGGGGUGCAAAUGGAACCGGGAUCCCCGGGCGGCUAAGGACCCUGAUACCACCAUACCCACCAGCAGCCUUAUGGAAUGCAAGGGAAGGAAAGUAGUAGUAGCUCCCAAUUUGGUCCUUGAACUGCAUGAUGUAAGUGAAAUUGCCACCCGGAGGGAUCGGGCAGUUUGUACCAUACACCCCGUCUUGCCAUGAGCUCCUCCUCUGUUGAAUUCCUUGCCUGCGAUAGGAGGAACGGGGAAGGCAGGUUGUUGAAGACAUUGAUGAUGAUGUUGUCGUUGGUGACCGCGUCGAUCUGAGGCCCCGGGAACUGGCCGUUGAUCAAUGUACUUACCUGCUGCUUGACGCCGAGAGGGUAGAUGUCGCCGAAGGUGAUGUUCCAGGUGUAGAACCUGUAAGGGUCGUCGCCUCUGACCGCGACGACGAGGAGGAGGAAGAAGAAGACGAGGAAGCGGGUAAUGGUGGCCUCCAUUCUCCUCGUCUCACACCUACCACCGCCACCGCC